CCAGACUCCUACGGGAGGCAGCAGUGGGGGAUAUUGCACAAUGGGGGGAACCCUGAUGCAGCGACGCCGCGUGGGUGAAGGAGCGUUUCGGCGCGUAAAGCCCUAUCGGCAGGGAAGAAGGAGGACGGUACCUGACUAAGAAGCCCCGGCUAACUACGUGCCAGCAGCCGCGGUAAUACGUAGGGGGCAAGCGUUAUCCGGAUUUACUGGGUGUAAAGGGGGCGCAGACGGCAGCGCAAGCCAGGAGUGAAAGCCCGGGGCCCAACCCCGGGACUGCUCUUGGAACUGCGUGGCUAGAGUGCAGGAGGGGCAGGCGGAAUUCCUGGUGUAGCGGUGAAAUGCGUAGAUAUCAGGAGGAACACCGGUGGCGAAGGCGGCUUACUGGACGGCAACUGACGCUGAGGCUCGAAAGCGUGGGGAGCAAACAGGAUUAGAUACCCCGGUAGC
rnacentral:rRNA from 1 species